rnacentral:rRNA from 1 species
UGGGGAAUAUUGCACAAUGGGCGCAAGCCUGAUGCAGCCAUGCCGCGUGUAUGAAGAAGGCCUUCGGGUUGUAAAGUACUUUCAGCGGGGAGGAAGGGAGUAAAGUUAAUACCUUUGCUCAUUGACGUUACCCGCAGAAGAAGCACCGGCUAACUCCGUGCCAGCAGCCGCGGUAAUACGGAGGGUGCAAGCGUUAAUCGGAAUUACUGGGCGUAAAGCGCACGCAGGCGGUUUGUUAAGUCAGAUGUGUAAUCCCCGGGCUCAACCUGGGAACUGCAUCUGAUACUGGCAAGCUUGAGUCUCGUAGAGGGGGGUAGAAUUCCAGGUGUAGCGGUGAAAUGCGUAGAGAUCUGGAGGAAUACCGGUGGCGAAGGCGGCCCCCUGGACGAAGACUGACGCUCAGGUGCGAAAGCGUGGGGAGCAAACA